ACUCUAACCAAAUACUUUUGAUUAAUUUAAUUAUUUAAAUAAAUCAACUCCAGAACUUUAUUCGUAGUAACUACUGAAUUACUGCUAAGUUAUUAUUAAAACAUCGGAACCUUAACCCAACGACUAUGUCUAUGAAGCCUCUACUGAUAAACUGACGCACUGCUCAAGACAUGAGUUUUCCUGGCCAGUUCUCUAUGUAAACAAAGAAAUAACUAAAUAAAGAUAACUCUAUGGAAUGCUCCACGAAUAAAAGCAGAGCUCACCAAUAGCACUGGAAGAUAAGGAAGUCCUAACCCGUAGCCUACUCGCCUGUAAAACCGGCUCCUACGUUGUACCGCAGACCAACGUAGGUUCCCAAAAGAGAACGUUAGUACCAUCUAUUGUACUUAGUGAAUCUCAACAACAGGGGACGCAACUUUAAUAUAAUACCCAUUACGAGCAAAUAAUAUAAAUGCAUAGAAAACAUAAAGCCUCUAAGAAAAAUUCUAAAAUAAUUUCAUAAUAGUAGUUUAUGAAUAUUCUAAAAGAAAUUCUUUUAUUUUUCUAAAAAAAAUUACUUAUCUUUAUACUUUAGGAGUUCCAACUAUCCUCACUUAAUUCUAUCUUAGUCACCGUGUGAUCGGCACGAGUUCGAUCCCAACCUGAUCGAAUAGGCCCAAUCCACGAGCUGCCACCCGCUUCAUGGUUCUCAGCGCUCAUGUAUCAUAUCUUAGCAUGGCUAAGUAAUUUCUCAGCAACGAGGCCCUCGACUCGUGUGCUCCCUACUUUGGCACAAGUAGUUUCAGGAAGUCAACACCUUGGUCAGGAACCUCAGCCUAGACGAUGACCCCUUCUCAGAAUAAAGGAUACUCCCAAAAAUCUUUUCUUUCUACAUCUUCUUGUGACUUUUCAACUCUAAAUCUUUUCUUUUUGGAACAUCAUGUACAUGAUCAUGCCAUUAUCCUUAAAUUUAAAGCAUUGCAUAAGAAUGAAAUACACAUCUAGAAGUAUUUCUAAAGAUUCUUGCUUCUUCAUAAAUUUUCAACAUGAAAAAUAGCAUAUAAGAAUAACACAAAAAUCUGAAAAUUUAUGCACAUAUAUCAUAAUAAAUCAUCUAAACUUAUGCUAGAACAAUUCUAAGUUAAUAGGUACUCACUCACUCCAAUUAAGUAAAUAUAAAUGCUUUUAAGCAAUUCAUCAAACACCUUGUGUGCGUGCUUUUGUGAGUUAAACCACUUUAGAAAAGGAUUAUAUCAACUCACCUCAAAACUUCUCGAGCCAAUACGUAGACCCCAGUCCAAUUUAUACCCGUCAAAUAAUCGAUUCU
rnacentral:lncRNA from 1 species